UGGGGAAUAUUGCACAAUGGGCGCAAGCCUGAUGCAGCCAUGCCGCGUGUAUGAAGAAGGCCUUCGUGUUGUAAAGUACUUUCAGCGGGGAGGAAGGGAGUAAAGUUAAUACCUUUGCUCAUUGACGUUACCCGCAGAAGAAGCACCGGCUAACUCCGUGCCAGCAGCCGCGGUAAUACGGAGGGUGCAAGCGUUAAUCGGAAUUACUGGGCGUAAAGCGCACGCAGGCGGUUUGUUAAGUCAGAUGUGAAAUCCCCGGGCUCAACCUGGGAACUGCAUCUGAUACUGGCAAGCUUGAGUCUCGUAGAGGGGGGUAGAAUUCCAGGUGUAGCGGUGAAAUGCGUAGAGAUCUGGAGGAAUACCGGUGGCGAAGGCGGCCCCCUGGACGAAGACUGACGCUCAGGUGCGAAAGCGUGGGGAGCAAACAGG
rnacentral:rRNA from 1 species